UUACGGUCAUAUCACGUUGAAAAACUGGUUCCCGUAUGUUCACCGAAGUUACGCAUCGUCCAGCCUGGUCAGUACUUAGAUGGGUGACUGGUUGGUAAUACCGGCUG